GCAGCCGCGGUAAUUCCAGCUCCAAUAGCGUAUAUUAAAGUUGUUGCAGUUAAAAAGCUCGUAGUUGAAUUUCGGGAUCAAUACGUCGGUCGUGCUUUUGGUACGUACUAACGUCAUUGAUUUCUCCUUUCUGACGAACCAUGAUGUCAUUAAUUUGGUGUUAUGGGGAGUUAGGACUGUUACCUUGAAAAAAUUAGAGUGUUUAAAGCAGGCUUACGCUUGAAUACAUUAGCAUGGAAUAAUGAAAUAGGACGUUCGAUCCUAUUUUGUUGGUUUCUAGGAUCAACGUAAUGAUUAAUAGGGAUAGUUGGGGGCAUUAGUAUUCAAUUGUCAGAGGUGAAAUUCUUGGAUUUAUUGAAGACUGACUACUGCGAAAGCAUUUGCCAAGGAUGUUUUCAUUAAUCAAGAACGAAAGUUAGGGGAUCGAAGACGAUCAGAUACCGUCGUAGUCUUAACCAUAAACUAUGCCGACUAGGGAUCGGAUGAUGUUAAAUUUAUUAUGACUCAUUCGGCGCCUUACGGG
rnacentral:rRNA from 1 species